GACGAACGCUGGCGGCGUGCUUAACACAUGCAAGUCGAACGGAAAGGCCCUGCUUUUGUGGGGUGCUCGAGUGGCGAACGGGUGAGUAACACGUGAGUAACCUGCCCUUGACUUUGGGAUAACUUCAGGAAACUGGGGCUAAUACCGGAUAGGAGCUCCUGCUGCAUGUUGGGGGUUGGAAAGUUUCGGCGGUUGGGGAUGGACUCGCGGCUUAUCAGCUUGUUGGUGGGGUAGUGGCUUACCAAGGCUUUGACGGGUAGCCGGCCUGAGAGGGUGACCGGCCACAUUGGGACUGAGAUACGGCCCAGACUCCUACGGGAGGCCGCAGUGGGGAAUAUUGCACAAUGGGCGGAAGCCUGAUGCAGCAACGCCGCGUGCGGGAUGACGGCCUUCGGGUUGUAAACCGCUUUCGCCUGUGACGAAGCGUGAGUGACGGUAAUGGGUAAAGAAGCACCGGCUAACUACGUG
rnacentral:rRNA from 1 species